rnacentral:rRNA from 1 species
GAUGAACGCUGGCGGCGUGCCUAAUACAUGCAAGUCGAGCGAACGGACGAGAAGCUUGCUUCUCUGAUGUUAGCGGCGGACGGGUGAGUAACACGUGGAUAACCUACCUAUAAGACUGGGAUAACUUCGGGAAACCGGAGCUAAUACCGGAUAAUAUUUUGAACCGCAUGGUUCAAAAGUGAAAGACGGUCUUGCUGUCACUUAUAGAUGGAUCCGCGCUGCAUUAGCUAGUUGGUAAGGUAACGGCUUACCAAGGCAACGAUGCAUAGCCGACCUGAGAGGGUGAUCGGCCACACUGGAACUGAGCCACGGUCCAGACUCCUACGGGAGGCAGCAGUAGGGAAUCUUCCGCAAUGGCGGAAAGCCUGACGGAGCAACGCGGCGUGAGUGAUGAAGGUCUUCGGAUCGUAAAACUCUGUGAUUAGGAAAGAACAUAGGUGUAAGUAACUGUGCACAUCGUGACGGUACCUAAUCAGAAAGCCACGGCUAACUACGUG